AUGGAGCGUCGCCGGAGCCGCCCGCCGUCGGUGGCCGCCGCCGGAGUCCUCCUUCUCUGCCUGGCGACGCUGGUGGUGGUCGGCGCGCUGCUGCCCGCUGCCUGGGCCGCGUCGGCGGACGGCUGCCCGGCCGGCGGCGAGCGGGCGAGCAAGCAGCAGGGGAGAAGUCGUGGUGGUCAUCAUCACCGGAAGCAUGCGGCGGAGGAGGAGCUGUGGGUGUUCGGCGACUCGUACGCGGACACGGGCAACCUGGGGAACCUGGGGCGGGAGCUGACCCACGCCUGGUACGACCCCUACGGCAAGACCUUCCCACGCCGCCCCGCCGGCCGCUUCUCCGACGGCCGCGUCCUCACCGACUUCGUCGCUUCGGCGCUGGGGAUGCGGACGCCGGUGGCCUACAAGGCGCGGCGGCGGGCGUCGCAGGAGACCCUCGCGCGCGGCAUGAACUUCGCCGUCGGCGGCGCCGGCGUGCUCGACACGGGCAACUUCCAGCGCAACAUCAGCGCCCAGAUCGACCUCUUCCAGGCCAUGCACCACACCCAGCAGCGGGGCUGCGGCAAGCGGACGGCGCUCGUCGUCGUCUCCGGCAACGACUACGCCUACGCCGCCGACAAGGACAACGGCACCAGCGCGGCGAUCGAGUACAUCCCGACGGUGGUGCGGGAGCUCCGGGGGCAGCUCCGGCGGCUGCGCGACGAGGCGGGGAUGCGGAGGGUGGUGGUGACCAACCUGCACCCCAUGGGGUGCACGCCGACAUUCACCCGCCUGCUCAACUACACCGGCUGCGACCCGCUGGCCAACGCCGGCGCCGCCCAGCACAACGCCGCGCUCCGGUCCGUCCUCGCCGCCCUCGACCCCAACAACCGCACCUUCCUCCUCCUCGACGUCCACACCCCCUUCGCCGCCUUCCUCCUCGACGACGACAACAAUGGUGACCAUGACAACAAGAGGUUCAAGAGCACGCUGCGGCCCUGCUGCGAGAGCUUCAGGCCGGACGGCUACUGCGGCGAGGAGGACGAGAACGGCACGCGGCAGUACACGCUCUGCGACGACCCCGGCCGCUACUUCUACUGGGACGACGUGCACCCGACGCAGGCCGCCUGGGCCGCCGUCGCGCGCACCUUCAGGGCCGCCGUCAAGAGCUUCCUCUCCACCUGA
rnacentral:rRNA from 1 species